rnacentral:rRNA from 1 species
UAUUGCACAAUGGGGGGAACCCUGAUGCAGCGACGCCGCGUGAGGGAAGAAGGUUUUUGGAUUGUAAACCUCGGUCCUUGGUAAAGAAGCAAGACGGUAGCCAAGGAGGAAGCCACGGCUAACCACGUGCCAGCAGCCGCGGUAAUACGUAGGUGGCAAGCGUUGUCCGGAAUUACUGGGUGUAAAGGGAGCGUAGGCGGUUAUGCAAGUUGAAUGUGAAAUCUAUCGACUCAACUGAUAGGCUGCGUUCAAAACUGUAUAUCUUGAGUGAAGUAGAGGCAGGCGGAAUUCCUAGUGUAGCGGUGAAAUGCGUAGAUAUUAGGAGGAACACCAGUGGCGAAGGCGUCUUACUGGACCGAAACUGACGUUGAGGCUCGAAAGCGUGGGGAGCAA